rnacentral:lncRNA from 1 species
GUCUUGCUCAAGUUCUUCCUGGAUUUGGACUGCCCUCGUCAUGAUCUUCUGUCACUUCAUCUACCGCCUCCUACUCCUAUAAAAACUACCAAUGUUGAGCUGCCGAUACCUGAGCUCGAAGCCGAACUUUUCCUCUUAAGAACCUAGUUCUGGAGUAUCACCAUGGUGACUUCGUCCAUCUUGAUGGUGCUCUUCUCCACUAGAAGAGCAGUCAUCAAG